AUUAUUUAGCAGUUUAUAAUGACAGCAUUACUCACAUGAACUCUUAUGUGGGAGGGCCUUUUCAACAGGCUCUUUCAGGAAUUACUACUUUAAACAAUACAUGGUAUGGAGGAAAUGCUGUCAUUAUAAACUGCUAAAUAAUCAUAAUUUGGUAACCAGAAAAAAUCGAAUGGUGCGAACUGCCCAGAUUGAGAAACUACACCAAUGUCUAGUUCAUCGUCGGGAUGUAGCUUCUCUGUUGAACCUUCAAGAAUGUCAAUUUCAGGAGCGCCACGUCCAACACCUGGACUAGGAUGAUCCUCAUUUAGACAUACACAGUUUGGCAAUUUUUGUCCUGGUAAAUAAGAAAUGCCAUCGUAAGAAGACUGGUUGGGCGUAAUUCCUACAUCACACUGAGAGUAUGCAUAUGGCCAUACUCCAUCAGUUGUAGCCAUAUAGCCAGGGCGGGCAAGGUUUCCAAGUGUCCAGAUACCUGGCCAUAAUCCUGCGUGUUCACCUGAACCUGCCAAAGAGGCCGAUACUUCAAUUAUACCACCUUUUAGGCAGAGCUUGUUCCAAGAUUGCAACAUUCCAGAACGAAAAUUCAAAUCUCGGUUCCAGAAUGCAUCGAGUUGAAUGGCUAAUGUUCCAUUAACGGUAGUAAUUGCAUCAGGAUCAUACCAGUCUAAAUCAUUCGUCGCAGCAUAGUGAAUAUUAACCGCUUCCCAAA
rnacentral:misc_RNA from 1 species